AACGAACGCUGGCGGCAUGCCUAACACAUGCAAGUCGAACGGAGGCUUCGGCCUUAGUGGCGCACGGGUGCGUAACGCGUGGGAAUCUGCCCUUGGGUUCGGAAUAACAGCGGGAAACUGCUGCUAAUACCGGAUGAUGACGUAAGUCCAAAGAUUUAUCGCCCAAGGAUGAGCCCGCGUAGGAUUAGCUAGUUGGUGGGGUAAAGGCCCACCAAGGCGACGAUCCUUAGCUGGUCUGAGAGGAUGAUCAGCCACACUGGGACUGAGACACGGCCCAGACUCCUACGGGAGGCAGCAGUGGGGAAUAUUGGACAAUGGGCGAAAGCCUGAUCCAGCAAUGCCGCGUGAGUGAUGAAGGCCUUAGGGUUGUAAAGCUCUUUUACCCGGGAUGAUAAUGACAGUACCGGGAGAAUAAGCUCCGGCUAACUCCGUG
rnacentral:rRNA from 1 species